GACGAACUGUCCUAACGUUGUUCGGAAUCACUGGGCGUAAAGCGCACGUAGGCGGAUUGCUAAGUCAGGGGUGAAAUCCUGGAGCUCAACUCCAGAACUGCCUUUGAUACUGGCGGUCUCGAGUCCGGGAGAGGUGAGUGGAACUGCGAGUGUAGAGGUGAAAUUCGUAGAUAUUCGCAAGAACACCAGUGGCGAAGGCGGCUCACUGGCCCGGUACUGACGCUGAGGUGCGAAAGCGUGGGGAGCAAACAGG
rnacentral:rRNA from 1 species